rnacentral:lncRNA from 8 species
AUGGACGUGGUGGAGACCAAACUCCCAGGAUCCCCUGGGCCCAAAUGUAUACAUGGGGAUCAAGUAACGCAGACCCUGAGGGUGGUGAAGCAGGAGGACUGUGGGCCCCUAACAACACCCUUAACAACGUACCUGAGUUUUGCCCAUGUGAAAACAGAAGAAGAGGAGGAAGAGAUAUGGGGUGUGGCUCACCCAAGUACAGGGUUCUUCAACGUCAAGAAGGAGGAAGAGGAAGAAUUUAUAGAAUAUCCUAUACAGCCUAAUGACAACCCAAGCCCCACUUCUGACAUUACCAGCCACAGUUCUGACGACUCCAGCCCUGACAAUGGCCCUAGAGCCACCCCUGACAAGAACAACCCCCGCCAUAACAACAACCCCAGGUCUGGCCCUGCCAGUGGAGGGGCAACAGACAAGGACCCUGCAUCCGGAGAGGAUGGAGAGGAGAGGAGCCCCCAGAUCUCAGCAAACCCAGGGACUAAGCCCAACAAGACCAAAGACGGUCAUCAGAGGCCGUUCCCCUGCUCUAGGUGUGGGAAGCGUUUAUCCACCACUGUUAGCUUAGACAAACACCAGAUCAUCCACACCCGACUGAGACCGUACCCCUGCUCCGUACCGGCCUGCACCAAGAGGUUCUGCUCACCAGCCGAGCUGAAGAGACACACACUCACACACACAGGUUUCUUUUACUUUGGUUCCUUUCGAAAGUAUUCAGCCUAA